rnacentral:rRNA from 1 species
GUGGGGAAUAUUGGACAAUGGGCGAAAGCCUGAUCCAGCCAUGCCGCGUGUGUGAAGAAGGUCUUCGGAUUGUAAAGCACUUUAAGUUGGGAGGAAGGGCAGUAAGUUAAUACCUUGCUGUUUUGACGUUACCGACAGAAUAAGCACCGGCUAACUUCGUGCCAGCAGCCGCGGUAAUACGAAGGGUGCAAGCGUUAAUCGGAAUUACUGGGCGUAAAGCGCGCGUAGGUGGUUUUGUAAGUUGGAGGUGAAAUCCCCGGGCUCAACCUGGGAACUGCCUCCAAAACUGCAUGGCUAGAGUACGGUAGAGGGUAGUGGAAUUUCCUGUGUAGCGGUGAAAUGCGUAGAUAUAGGAAGGAACACCAGUGGCGAAGGCGACUACCUGGACUGAUACUGACACUGAGGUGCGAAAGCGUGGGGAGCAAACAGGAUUAGAUACCCUAGUAGUCC